UUACGGAAUAAUGACUUCGGUUAUUAUUUAGUGGCGGAAGGGUUAGUAAUACAUAGAUAAUCUGUCCUCAACUUGGGAAUAACGGUUGGAAACGACCGCUAAUACCGAAUGUGGUAUGUUUAGGCAUCUAAAACAUAUUAAAGAAGGGGAUCUUCGGACCUUUCGGUUGAGGGAGAGUCUAUGGGAUAUCAGCUUGUUGGUGGGGUAAUGGCCUACCAAGGCUUUGACGUCUAGGCGGAUUGAGAGAUUGACCGCCAACACUGGGACUGAGACACUGCCCAGACUUCUACGGAAGGCUGCAGUCGAGAAUCUUUCGCAAUGGACGAAAGUCUGACGAAGCGACGCCGCGUGUGUGAUGAAGGCUCUAGGGUUGUAAAGCACUUUCGCUUGGGAAUAAGAGAGAUUGGCUAAUAUCCAAUCGAUUUGAG
rnacentral:rRNA from 1 species